GUUUUAUCUAUGUAGUGUUUUCAGCGGUUGUUUGCAUGAUGUUUGGAGUGGUUUCAGUGCACAGUGCCAGGUGGUUUUACAGAAGCCUAGUUCAGAGGAGUCGAAAUCACAGGCCUAUGUACCAACACGUUGGCAGCCUCCGUACACGUGUGAGUUAAGUUCUAAUGGAUCCGAAAUCUGUUGCAGUUUAGUUGGCUGAAGCUUUCUAAAGGGGUAUUAAACACGUGUUUCAAUCAAGUGGCCCGUUCACCUGGUAACCCCGCCUUACACCAUCACAGCCCUGAACACCCGCUGGUGAUCGCUCAUCUUAAAGAUAAAAGCAUGGAGGGAGAAAGGCGGAUUGAAGGACACUUUGCCCUCUGCCUUCUUGAAGGCAGAUGGGAUUCCCCUGAGGACCGGUGCAGAGGGGACGUCACUACUAAUGGAAGGCAGCACAGAUGGUGAGAAUAGACGUGCUGGCCUUGUCUAGCAGAACAUAAGCGGGUGCGUUUGUUGGGGUGCGGUGCAGCCAUCUUCUCCAACUGAAUCAUAGCAAGUUAAUGUUGGUGACUUGUUUCUGCAGUAAUUAAAAUGUGGCAAAUAUAUAAACCAGACAACAACUUAAAAUAAAAGAUUAAGAAUCAGAC
ensembl:lncRNA